rnacentral:rRNA from 1 species
AUAGUAAGAGUUGAAAAUAACAACUCAGGUC